rnacentral:tRNA from 1 species
GGGGGUGUAGCUCAGUUGGGAGAGCGCCAGCUUUGCAAGCUGGAUGUCGUGGGUUCGAUCCCCUCCACCUCCACCA